rnacentral:rRNA from 1 species
GGGCCCGCACAAGCAGUGGAGUAUGUGGUUUAAUUCGAAGCAACGCGAAGAACCUUACCAGGGCUUGACAUCCCUCUGCCAGUCUUAGAGAUAAGACUUUUCUUCGGAACAGAGGAGACAGGUGGUGCAUGGUUGUCGUCAGCUCGUGUCGUGAGAUGUUGGGUUAAGUCCCGCAACGAGCGCAACCCCUGUUGUUAGUUGCCAUCAUUAAGUUGGGCACUCUAACGAGACUGCCGGUGAUAAAUCGGAGGAAGGUGGGGACGACGUCAAAUCAUCAUGCCCCUUAUGUCCUGGGCUACACACGUACUACAAUGGCGAUUACAAUGGGAAGCAAUAUCGCGAGGUGGAGCAAAUCCCCAAAAAUCGCCCCAGUUCAGAUUGCAGGCUGCAACUCGCCUGCAUGAAGUCGGAAUUGCUAGUAAUGGCAGGUCAGCAUACUGCCGUGAAUACGUUCCCGGGCCUU